CACUAAAUGUAUUAAAAGCAAUUUGCCAACUUGUUUCCAGCCCGUUUUGCAAUUUGGCAGCAAGCAAAAUGGUAAGGGAGGGCAGGCAGUGUUUCAACCAUCAUUAACAUUCCCGUUCCUAGAGUCACUCUCCGAGUUUAAUAAUCCUGCAAUAGCAGGGUUAAUUUCCUGUUUAACUCCAGACCUACCUUUUGAUUCCUCCUCGCGCCCCCUCCUUAAAAAUUCCUCCAGGCUAGUGGUUUCAGUGGAUGGAGAAACGAACAGGCAGAAACAAUUAAACUAGCAGAUACAGUGGAAACCAAUACCUCUGGCCCUUCCACAGAAAUUGUAGCACAGGAAUGGAUUCUGUAAUGUAUUUUAUCUUUCAGCAGUCUGCUUUCCCCCCUUGCAAUUCUUUCAGCCCCUCCUGUGGGCUACAAGAAUUCUGUCCUCCCCAAGGACCUCAUAAAUACACACAUGCACUGAAAAUAUUUUCUCUGUGUAUUAAUAUUACAUGAUGAUCAUCUCAAGAAGAGCGAGUGGGCUCCACCCCUCCCUUCUCCUCCUCAGCCCGCUUUCAGACCUUGACUGCAAAAUGGCUCCUUAACAACCCCCCUCUCCCCCCUCUCUUUUACUUCCAGCAUUCACAUCUGUCUAGGGCAAAAUAAGAGUUUUGAAGGCAUUCUGCGACCCAGCCUAGCUUGAAUGUGUACUGGGGGUGGUGGGGUGGGAAGGCAGGGAGACGUAUUGCAAUCGCUGUGCGCAUUGCAAGUUUUACACCGGGGGGGGGGCGGAAGUGAUUCAGAAGCAUUUAUUGUCACCAGUUAGGAGAGCAAUUGGAUUUUUAUUUUUUUGGUUCGGUGUCAUCGCCUGUCUGAGGCUCCAUGCCAUUAGACAGAAUUGGCAGCCAGUAUCCUGGUUAUAAAAGCACUUUCACGAGGGAUGGGUUUAUUGAACAUUGCAGAAAUAUUUAACUCCCUCGCUGCCGGAUCUAUGACCCAGUGAAGUCUGUGACUUGCGGCCUGUUUUCUUUUGAUUGGCUUUGAAUGAAGAAUACAAUGCCUCUAAACUACAGUAUUCGGGCUUAAGUAUGGCUCCUGCUUAAAAAUAGCCCGUGUUGGUCAUGGCUUUAUAAAAAGUAACUCAUCUGAAUAUUGAUGCUUCUCUUUGCCUCACAGCUUCACUUGAAAGCAUUUCAUAACUCUGAUUUUGGAAAAGAUUGGACUCCUACUAGCAUGCAGAUAAACCAGAUUUCCAGAGAGUUUAGGCUUUACCAGUUGCCACAGGGUAUUAGGGAAACCGAGAGCUAGUUCAGAUACAUUCAUGUGUACCACUUGUGUUUUCUAUAAUUGAUUACUGUAUAUAAGAUAAAUGGCCCAUUUGUACAACCCAGUCAUCACUUGAUAAUGCAGUCCUCAAAUGAUGAAUGCACAUGUGGCAACCAGGUUUAAGAAUCGGAAGGAGGAAUUACGGUCGAAAAACUGAGCUGUCAAGAUCAAAGUACUGCACUCUGCAAAAUUCACUAUGAAGUAUGCUCUUUACAAAAUCAGCUCAGGUCCUUCAAAAGCUAACUGGCAAAGAGUUUUGCAAAGUGCAAAGGGCCUGAACCGUGCAGCAAUGUGUUCUGCUUUGUUCUACCAUUGUCUAGCCUUUAGCCUUAGCUGUUAAUGUCCAAUCCCUGGUAAGCAAAUUACCAAUAACAUCAUUCAGGGAACUAUGAGUAAAGGUGGAAGUGACCUGAGCAAAGAGAAAGUCAGAGUCUAAGGUGGGAGAUUUAAAACAAGGGAAGUUGGCAGAUCAGAGUCAUGCCACAAGCGAUUUUUGUCUUUAUUUGCAAAAACGAUUACAGAGUGCUCCAUUCAAUUAUUAUUAUUAUUAUUUAAAAGCCUUGCUUCAGUUUUAGGUCUGUGGAGAUCCCCAUCGGGGAAAAACAAACUUCCAUCCAUCUCCCAGGACCAAGAAAUUUGACAUGAAGACAGAGGGUGAAUGAGAAGCAGUGCGGUGUGGGAGCCAUGUGCCAUGUUUAUUGAAUCCAGCCUGGAGUACUUUUGCACAUUAAAUCACCUCUUAUAAAAACCCCAAAUUUGUUUCAAGUGUGGCACUGUGCUGGCCACCCCUCCCAAUAUUACACAUAUAAUAAUGCCAGGGCCACCUCUCCCCCCCCUUCUUUCCCACCCUAACCCCCCACUGAAGUGAAAAUUUGAAGACAGCUGCUAGUAAAUGUAAAACACUGCCAUCUAACAACUGAAAACAUCUGAAUGCGGAUCCUGCCUGGAAGCCUGAUGGACAUUUUAAGAACUGAGCUCCACGUUUUCCCUGGGUGUGUCCCUGAGCUGAUGUGAAGGGCCCCUAGCUCUAGGAAGAAUACUUUUUGUUCUCAUGGCACACCCAGGAACUCUCCUCCUUCAGCUCUGCCACCUGAAGAUCUUCUCCUCUCUUUAAACAACCCAACCCAUUUCCCCCUUGCUGAAGAGCUGUAGCUCAGUGGCAGAUCAUCUGCUUUGUAUGCAGGUUCAACACCCAACAGCAUCUCCAGGUAGGUCUGGGAAAGACUGAAACCUUGCCAGUCAGAGCAGAGAAUAAUGAGUGCAAUGAAUCUAUGGUCUGACUAAGUACAAGGCUGCUUCCUAUGUUCCUCUUAAGCUUGGUCCUCCCUCCUAGAAUAACCUGCAACCCUCCAGAUGUUGGACUUCAGCCUUCAUUAGCCCCAGCCAGUGCAACCUAUGGUUAAGGAUAAAGGGAGUAGGGAUGGGAGAAUCUGUCAAUUUCAGAUUCUCAUUUUUCCAUAUUUAGGUUUCAUGCUCUGUAUUUUCACAUCAGUAUUCCACCAUGUACUCCCACUGUAACUAACACAGCAGUGGUGCACAGCAGAAGCUGUGGUGGAACUAAGUUCCUCAACAGGUUUCUACAGCAGGAGAUGCUUCCACAUUUCCCCUGCCACUUGGCAAUUUAGAACUUUAAAUUCAAAGCCAACACUUGAAUCACCACUAUAGGUGCUUCUAUCGAACUACUGUACCCUGCGGAGAAUGAGAAGAAGCAGUAACGACAUCUCCCAAACAAACUGUCUUUUCCAUUUUAUUGUAGCUUUUUAAAAACAACAACAACAACAAUGCUUAUUGUUGUACUAAUCUUAUGCAAACCACUUCAUGAAAUCCACCUGGAAAGUGGCCAUUCAGCUUUUGGCUGAAUGGAAAUUCUUGGGCUGCUUUCAAGGGCAUCCCCUUGUUGUCUCUCCCUCUCUACCCUCUGUCCUUUCUUCCCAUCUCUCACACGAUUUAUCUUCUGGAAUUUGUUUCUCUUAUGUUACUCUGUGAAAUGUAUGGACACUGAUGGUGCUAUCCAGGACUUUUUUUUCAAGUGGAACUCCGUUCCAGCACCUCUCAGGUGGAUGCCAUUAUAUGAAAACAAAGGAGGUGUUUGUGCUGAGCACCUCUUUUUCUAGAAAAAAUAGCACUGAUGCUAUCUAAAUACAGAAUGCUACUCACACUCCUGUAUUUCUCCAGUAAAAGGUUAAUGUUUAUGGAAAGCUGACAGGCUUCCAAAGGGGUGAGCCCUUGUUCCAAAUAGGUUCUCCUGGCUCUCUGUGACUCAGCUCUCUUAGUUCUCCAGUUUUCUUGGAUAGUUUGGCCAAAGUGGAAAGUGUGCCUGUCUCUCUGUCACACAAUGCGAAAAGAUGCAUCAAUUGCAGUUUCUGCUUGGGUGUUCAUCCCUAAUCUGCUUCAUGGCAUAUACAAGUGAAAGAUUGUCUAGAAAUGUGCAAAUGACACACACACACCACUGAAAUUUUGCUGGUCUUAGCAAAGACAUUUUCAUAUCCCUUGAAAUUCUGCAGAUGCUCUCCCCAAACUGACACCUUCAAAUUCAGCUUGGAUUUUGCUUAGCAAGCCUUAGCAGCAACUUCUGAAGAAAUCUGAAGAAAUUCACAAAUCUGAGCGAAACUCCCUCAGGUUCCAUUGAAAUUCUUCAUGUGUUUUUCCCAAACCUGAAAUUUGGCAUUUGGGUCAUAUUCUGGCCUAGGUUGAAAUUUGGUGAUUAAUCCGCUGUGGGGAAAAUGAGAUAGAGAAGAAGUAAGGUACAAGAAGAAGCUACAGUUGCAGAACCAUUUGCUGUUGCACAGCUGUUGAUGAAAUGUAUACAACCACACACACAAUCUGACAACCCUUGCAGAACUUAACUUAAUUUCAGGGAACACAAACUUCUCCUACCUCAGUUUUUUUCCCUUGCUAAAUGUAUGAAUAAUACUGGCAAUUUGAAGACAAAAUUCUACUGAUUCCUUAAUCUGACCCAAGUUAAUUGUUUCUGUUUUCCAAUGAAACUGAUGAACAAAUGUAGUCACGAGGAACUUGAAUCCUUCUGAUUUUGUUGCAACUCAAGCCUAGUUUUAUUGAUGUGGUCAGUAUUUGCCUUCAUGCCCUACAAAGCUCUCUUGACAUCACAGAUCCAAAUUCUGCAGACCACAGAGGUAUUUAUUAAGUGUAGAGAGGUCUCUAAAACAAAACAGAAAGGCAGAAAAAAAAUAACUGGGCAGCAAGAUUACUUUCUUAGAGGAGCCUUGUGUUGAUUUUGAAUGUCAACCAACAAAACAAAUUAUGUGUGCAGUCAGUAGACCAGUUACACAAAAUCUUCAGAAGUAAACAGUUAACACUUCUGAUUAUUCUGAUUAUUGGUUAUUGACUGAGAAUUAUUAUAUACAUUCAGCUAUCAACUUGUAAACUGUUUCUAAUAGCAGCAGCCAAGAAUUAUGCAGAUCACCAGCCUAAGAUAUGGAGGGGGGGUGGAACCCAAAGCUUUGCUUAGGUGUACCCAGGACCUUUCAGUCCAGUCAAAUGCCUUAGCACUUUGUUCAACGUGCUGUAAGGUAUGGGUGUAUUUUCCUAGAAAGAUCCAAUAUGCUUCCAAAGAGAACAUGUCUUCAGGAGGCAUCUACUGUUAGGGUCCUAAAGGGAGAGAAUAUGUAUUGGAAUGCUGUAGCUGAUGACCCUUAUUCUGGCAUUCUCCUCCAUACAUGAUUGUGGGCAAGGUAGAAACCUCUACCUAGCUCCUCCCCCUUCGCUGGGUUCUUGCUGCCACCACCCACCAUGAGCAAAUGGGAAUUGUAAAGCUCUGUGAAGGAUAAACAACAGCGCCCAUGAUUCUUUGGGGGAAGUCAUAACAAAGUGGUAUAAAAGUGCUUUAAACACAUGUGACUGAAAUAAAAAUGUGAGAUUCUAUGAGUACAGCAGACUUCUCACUGCAGAUGCUUGCUCUCCAGUGCAUCAACAGCAGUGGGGCAGAUUAUGGGGAUGCAACAGAGCUCACCUCUGUUAUCUUCUCACAUGAUUUUAAUUGCACAAGAAGAUGAAUGCCUGACUAGGACUAUGGACUUAUUUCCAAAAGAUACUGAGUUUUAAAGAUUGUAUGAAAGCCAGAAAGUAAAGGCUUCAGAUCUUGAUCUCCGAAACAUGGUGAUAUGGCACUGGAGAACCAGUUCAUGCAACAACCUCCUUUCAAUGCCUUGUGUGCACAGAAGCAUCUAUGGGUCUGUAUAUCUCAGGCUAGACCUGCCCAUGCAGUAGACUGAGAGGUUGUGGAAUGGAGAGUUUCAUUGCAGACUUCAAGGAGGGAAGAAUUCAUAUUUCAGACUCCUUCCCAUUACGACAAAACUCCUUGCAAGUAGAAAACUAGCAGAGGCAUGCACGACUUGUUGCAUACAAGUUGCUCAAUACCAAUUUUGGAGCAUGGCCACCAUCUUAUGCACCCAAUCUGGCCAAAUUUAAGCAUUAAAAAGGUUAUUUGCUUUCUCUCACACAGAGGUGUGGAAACAACUUUCCCAUAAGAAUGUGUUAGGAAUCCAACCUUUGCAAAUCUCUGACCUCUAACCAGCUGAGAUAUCCACCUCCACAAGUUAGCCAUCUAUUGGCUUUCUCACUUUUCCAGAUGUUGCAACCCUAUCCCUAGCAGUUUAAACCUAUCUACCUAUUUCGAGAGAAAAUGCAAAGGCAUAUUAAAAUAUGUGUUGGUGUUGUUUUAAAAAAUAAAAUAAAUAUUUUGGAAUUGCAAAUAUAACAGAAGAAAGGGGAAACACCUUCAGCUACUAUUAGCAAUAAAAAUAUUCCAUCAGUCUCAAUUUAAGCAUAAAAAUUAAAUUAGCAUAUAAAUUAGGCAGUGCGUAUGUCCAAACAUGCAUCCAAAUGAGAUUAAUGAUUAUAUGCUAUAAGUUCAAAUGUGGAAAGAGCAGUGAGAUCUUCAUACCGCUGAAUAGUAUUUAUUUAUUUUCUUUGCAUUUAUAUCCCACCUUUUUUCUCUAAGGAGUUGAAGGUGGUGUACAUAGUUCCCCUCAACUGUUUAAUCCGCACAACAACCCAGUGUGGGAGGUUAGGCUGAGAGGCACAGACUGGCCCUAGAUCACCCAGCUAUCUUCAUGGAUGAGUAGGGAUUUGAACCCUGGGAUCCCAGGUCCUAGUCCAACACCCUAGCCACUACAACACUAGUUGUUUGUCCUUCUAGCCUGAAUGAAAAAGAGAAUCUGCAUCUCACUUGCCCACUUGAUUGCAAACCCCACACAUACUUCUGCAACAGAACAGUGGUCUCUAUGUCUAUACCCUCCAACAUUUCUCUGAUGAAAAUAAGGACUAUUUUUAUUAUUAUUUAUUUUAUUAUAUGCCACCCAUCUGACUGGGUUGCCCCAGCCAUUCUGGGUGGCUUCCAACAUAUAUUAAAACACAAUGAAACAUUAAAAAACUUCCCUAUACAGGGCUGCCUUCAGAUGUCUUCUAAAGGUUAUAUAGUUACUUAUCUCCUUGGUUCAGGGGUCUCAUAACUUCAAACCCUUAUCCAAACAUUUAUCCAAUGAAAUUAGGGACAUCCUACUAUACCCUCCAACAUUUCUCUGAUGAAAAUAGGGACGUCCUAAGGGGAAAUGGGACAUUCCGGGAUCAAAUUAGAAACGGGUGGCUUCUGUAAAUCUGGGACUGUCCCUGGAAAAUAGGGACACUUGGAGGGUCUGUAUGAACCUGGGAUCAUGUGUACAUCUGUGUAACGGGCCUCGAAGCCUCAAGUCUCAGAAAGUUAACCUCAUGGUAGUAAGCCCUACUUCAAUCAUGGGGAUAUGCUUCAAGUAAACAUGUUAAGAACUGGCCUUCAAGUGUGCAUAGGAGUGCCUUCAUCACCAACCAAUGCAAUGUAUUUCCAGUAAUUUAUUAAAUUCAGAAUUCCAUCUCCGUUGUCCAAACGUAAUUGCAGAGCAGCGCCGGCAGUUCUACGAGAGUUAAACCAGUGCAUCAAUGGCAGAGGUUUCAACUAUUCAAAGUUUUGUCCAACUGUUCACAUCUGUGAAUAGGCCUAAGAUUGCACCUAAUUAUUGCAAGUUUCACAAGGAGAAAAAAUGUUUCAGUUCUUUUUCUUCUUCCCCCAUCCCAGGAUACUUAUGUAUAUGUAAGACAUUCAGCAGGACAAUGUCCUUUCCUAGUUGAAAAGCCUCCUGGAAAACCCAAUCAGACAAAUUAUUUGUUUCCUCCUUGGGUACGCUGUUAUCUAUUGAUGUGUCUGGAAUUUCACAUCCACACACACACAUAUAUUUUUAUCUUGUAAAAUUCUUUGCUUUUACAAAAAUAAAAAAUAAAAAAUUGCUAAUUUUAGAAUGUAAAGCACUGGAGAAGAGACCCAGUUCAGGAAAUGCUCUUAAACAGAAGCAUCAGAGAUAAUGAAAAAACGGCUCGCGGGAUAAGCAUAUAUUUAUCGGGUUUGUUAUGUAUCAAAUGUAACAAAAGUAGAGCGUCUAAGGAACUCCAUGUGUGGUUCUUUCACACUCUUUGAUCACACAAUUCCCCCUUUUAAUUCAGAUGCAGUAGAGCUUAAGUGGAUUCAUUGAUGUGUUAAGUGUGGAAUGAUUUUUUGUAUU